rnacentral:misc_RNA from 1 species
UCAAACUUGGUCAUUUAGAGGAAGUAAAAGUCGUAACAAGGUUUCCGUAGGUGAACCUGCGGAAGGAUCAUUAUUGAAUAAUUUUGAUAGAUUGUUGCUGGCUCUCUGAGCAAGUGCACGUCUGUCAUUUUUAUCUUUCCAACAAUGUGCACUUAUGCAUAGAUCUGAAUAUUUCUUUGAUCAAGCUAGACUUGAUUUUUGGGAAUUGCUGUUGUAGUAAUAGCUUUUCCUGUGUUCAGAUUCUAUGAAUUUUAUAGACCCCACUGUAUGUUUAUGAAUGCUAUUGAAGGCUUUUUAUAGCCUAUUAAAUUUUAUACAACUUUCAGCAACGGAUCUCUUGGCUCUCGCAUCGAUGAAGAACGCAGC